rnacentral:rRNA from 1 species
GAUGAACGCUGGCGGCGUGCCUAAUACAUGCAAGUCGAACGCUGGAAAUCUAGCUUGCUAGAUUGAAGGAGUGGCGAACGGGUGAGUAAUACAUAAGCAACCUACCCACGAAGACUGGGAUAAUCUCUGGAAACGGGGACUAAUACCGGAUAGGUAAUCGGAAGGCAUCUUCUGAUUAUUAAAGGUUAAAAACACUGGUGGAUGGGCUUAUGGCGCAUUAGUUAGUUGGUGAGGUAACGGCCCACCAAGACGAUGAUGCGUAGCCGGCCUGAGAGGGUGAACGGCCACAUUGGGACUGAGACACGGCCCAGAAUCCUACGGGAGGCAGCAGUAGGGAAUUUUCGGCAAUGGGGGAAACCCUGACCGAGCAACGCCGCGUGAGUGAUGACGGCCUUCGGGUUGUAAAGCUCUGUUGUAAGGGAAGAACGGUAGAUAGAGAAUAUCUAAAUGACGGUACCUUACCAGAAAGCCACGGCUAACUACGUG